UACGAAGGGGGCUAGCGUUGCUCGGAAUCACUGGGCGUAAAGGGUGCGUAGGCGGAUUCUUAAGUCAGAGGUGAAAGCCUGGAGCUCAACUCCAGAACUGCCUUUGAUACUGGAGAGCUUGAGUCCGGAAGAGGUGAGUGGAACUCCGAGUGUAGAGGUGAAAUUCGUAGAUAUUCGGAAGAACACCAGUGGCGAAGGCGGCUCACUGGUCCGGUACUGACGCUGAUGUGCGAAAGCGUGGGGAGCAAACAGG
rnacentral:rRNA from 1 species